rnacentral:rRNA from 1 species
AAGGUCUUCGGAUCGUAAAGCUCUGUUGUCAGGGAAGAACAAGUACCGUUCGAACAGGGCGGUACCUUGACGGUACCUGACCAGAAAGCCACGGCUAACUACGUGCCAGCAGCCGCGGU